UACAGAGGGUGCGAGCGUUGUUCGGAAUUAUUGGGCGUAAAGGGCGCGUAGGCGGUGCGGUAAGUCACCUGUGAAAUCUCCUGGCUCAACUGGGAGCUUGCAGGCGAAACUGCCGUGCUGGAGUGUGGGAGAGGUGAGUGGAAUUCCCGGUGUAGCGGUGAAAUGCGUAGAGAUGCGGAGGAACACCGAUGGCGAAGGCAGCCCCCUGGGCUAACACUGACGCUCAGGCACGAAAGCGUGGGGAGCAAACAGG
rnacentral:rRNA from 1 species